rnacentral:rRNA from 1 species
AGGGCGAGUCGACGGCGAACGGGUGAGUAACGCGUGGAUGACCUGCCCUUUAGUGUGGAAUAACCAGGGGAAACUCUGGCUUAAUACCGCAUCCGACCGAGAGGUGAUAGGGGGCUCGCAAGAGCUCUCGCUGAGGGAGGGGUCCGCGUCCGAUUAGCUAGUUGGUAGGGUAAUGGCCUACCAAGGCGACGAUCGGUAGCCGGCCUGAGAGGGUGAUCGGCCACACUGGAACUGAGACACGGUCCAGACUCCUACGGGAGGCAGCAGUGGGGAAUUUUGCGCAAUGGGCUAACGCCUGACGCAGCAACGCCGCGUGGAGGAUGAAGGUCUCUUGGAUUGUAAAACUCUCUGUCGAGCGGGGAAAAAGGGAGGCGACUCUAAUACGUCGUCGAACUUGA